rnacentral:tRNA from 2 species
AUACAAAUAGGCUAAUUUUAAAGCUUUUAAACUCAUAAUUUAAAGAUAAAAAUUCUUUUUUUUGUAUA